rnacentral:rRNA from 1 species
AUUGAACGCUGGCGGCAUGCUUUACACAUGCAAGUCGAACGGUAACAGGGUGCUUGCACCGCUGACGAGUGGCGAACGGGUGAGUAAUGCGUCGGAACGUGCCGAGUAGUGGGGGAUAACGCAGCGAAAGUUGUGCUAAUACCGCAUACGUACUGAGGUAGAAAGUGGGGGACCUUCGGGCCGCACGCUAUUCUAGCGGCCGAAGGCUGAUCAGCUAGUAGGUGAGGAAAAGGCUCACCUAGGCGACGAUCAGCAGCGGGUCUGAGAGGAUGAUCCGCCACACGGGGACUGAGACACGGCCCAGACUCCUACGGGAGGCAGCAGUGGGGAAUUUUGGACAAUGGGCGAAAGCCUGAUCCAGCCAUGCCGCGUGUCUGAAGAAGGCCUUCGGGUUGUAAAGGACUUUUGUCAGGGAGGAAAUCCCUAGUGCUAAUAACACUGGGGGAUGACAGUACCUGAAGAAUAAGCACCGGCUAACUACGUGCCAGCAGCCGCGGUAA